rnacentral:piRNA from 1 species
UAUGAUGCAGGCCUUACAAGGA